CCCUGAUAUUUAUUUAAUGGCCGCAGUAUUUUAACUGUGCAAAGGUAGCAUAAUCAUUAGUUUUUUAAUUGAAGGCUGGAAUGAAUGAUUGGACGAGAUAUAAGCUGUCUCAUAAAAAUUUUUAUAGAAUUUAAUUUUUUAGUAAAAAAGCUAAAAUUUUUUUAAAAGACGAGAAGACCCUUUAGAUCUUUAUAUAAUAAUUUAUUAUUUUUUUUUUGUUUUAUUAUAAAUUAAUAAUUUAUUAUAUUUUGUUGGGGUGACAUUGAAAUUUAAUAAACUUUCAAAAUUUAAAUCCAUUAAUUAAUGAAUUAAUGAUCCUUUAUUAAUGAUUAAAAAUUUAAGUUACCUAAGGGAUAACAGCGUAAUUAUUUUGGAGAGUUCUUAUCAAUAAAAUAGAUUGCGACCUCGAUGUUGGAUUAAGAUUAAUUUUGGGUGUAGCAGUUCAAUAAAUUAAGUCUGUUCGACUUUUAAUUUCUUACAUGAC
rnacentral:rRNA from 1 species